rnacentral:rRNA from 1 species
UGGGGAAUAUGGACAAUGGGGGAAACCCUGAUCCAGCAAUGCCGCGUGAGUGAAGAAGGCCUUAGGGUUGUAAAGCUCUUUCGCCCGCGACGAUGAUGACGGUAGCGGGAGAAGAAGCCCCGGCUAAUUCCGUGCCAGCAGCCGCGGUAAUACGGAAGGGGCGAGCGUUGUUCGGAAUCACUGGGCGUAAAGCGCGCGUAGGCGGCUUGGCAAGUGCGGCGUGAAAGUCCUGGGCUCAACCUGGGGACGGCGCUGCGGACUGCCUGGCUGGAGUCCGGAAGAGGGUGGUGGAAUUCCGAGUGUAGAGGUGAAAUUCGUAGAUAUUCGGAGGAACACCGGUGGCGAAGGCGGCCACCUGGUCCGGCACUGACGCUCAAGCGCGAAAGCGUGGGGAGCAAACAGGAUUAGAUACCCUGGUAGUCCACGCCGUAAACGAUGGGUGCUAGAUGUCGGGGGGCUUGCCCUUCGGUGUCGGAGCUAACGCGUU